CCUACGGGUGGCUGCAGUGAGGAAUAUUGGUCAAUGGCCGGAAGGCUGAACCAGCCAUGCCGCGUGAAGGUCAGUGCCCUAUGGGCUUUAAACUUCUUUUGUUCUGGAGCAAUAAUGGUCACGUGUGGCCUGACGAGAGUACCGUACGAAUAAGCAUCGGCUCACUCCGUGCAAGCAGCCGCGGUAAUACGGGGGAUGCAAGCGUUUUCCUGAUUUAUUUGGUUUUAAGGGUGCGUAUGCUGUGAGGUAAGUCAGCGGUGAAAUGCCCCGGCGCAACGGGGUGAAGUGCGAUUGAAACUGCCUUGCUGGAAUGCGGAUGCGGUGGGAGGAAUGUGUGGUGUAGCGGUGAAAUGCAUAGAUAUCACACAGAACACCGAUUGCGAAGGCAGCUCACGAGUCCGCGAUUGACGCGGAUGCACGAAAGCGUGGGUAUCAAACAGGAUUAGAUACCCGGGUAGUC
rnacentral:rRNA from 1 species